rnacentral:sRNA from 1 species
UUUUAAAGAAAUUUUUUACUUAUAAUAUAUAUAUAUAUAUAUAUAUAUAUAUAUAUUUGAUACAUUUAUACAAUUAUUAAUUUAUGAUAUUGAUGGGACCAUAUAUUUACAUAGAACUUUCAAAAAAAUUAUUAUCUUAUUAAUUUAUCGAUUUGUGUCACUUUUUAUAUUGGUCCCAAUUCGGGACCGAAAAAAUUUAUUAAUUUAUAGAGGUUAUUAAUUUAUAGAGUAUUAAUUUAUAGAGGUUAUACUGUAGUUUUUUUAAACCACACAAUUUAAAGUUUUCCAAAAUUUUAAAUUUUACAAUUGAAUAAAACAAAAUUAAAUAUCAUUUAACUCAUUCCUUUGCAAAAUAGUAGAUGAAGGGUUGAACAAUUUUUCUUUAUAAUUUGGGAAAAAUUACAUCAUUUGCCAUAUUUUUCAAAAUCCUUAUGCAAUCUGCUAUAUUUUUCAGGGUCUUACAACUCAUGCCACAUUUGGUUGGAAAAUGUCCAUUUUGUCCUCAUCAUUUCUUCUCUAUUUUAUCUCUCUUUCCUCGAUAUCCGUGCAUUUUGACCAUACACCAUUAUCUUUCCGAAGACAAAACGAAACGUUUUAGUCUCUCUAUCACUUUCCCUGACAACCUGCACAGAUUCUCUACAUGUAACUUUCAAUUAAAUUUGUCUCCCAAUUUUAUUCAUCAUAAAUUCUCUGUUGUAUCUAGAUCUUGUCCCCGAUUUUAUCAUCUUUCAAAAUUAUCAUAUAAGAUGGCAAAAAUAGAUGGCAAAAAAUAGAUGGUUUCAGUUUCAGCAUCUCUGUGAAGACAAUAACGCUCAACUAAUCUGUGGACCAAAAUAGAUGGCGAAAAUCUAAAUAAAAUUCUAAAUUCUAAAAUGAGAACAAUUGCAUAUAAGAUGUAGGAUUCAUAAUAAUAGAGAAACAUGAUGAAAUCGAGGACAAAACGUAGAUGCAACAGAGAAUUUCUAUUCGGAGACAAGAUCUGGAGACUAAAACAAAAGUCUUCCUCCAAUUGUUCUCCUCUAACAGGUAAUCAUGUCCCCUAAUGCAUUAUAUAUUACGUUGUCCCCCAAUAUUAGGUAAUCAUGUCUCCUAAUAUAUUAUAUAUUACGUUGUCCUCCGCAGAAUUUUGGAUAACCAAUUUGCUUAAAUAAGUCAUUUUUAAAUACUCAAUAACAACCGUAGAAGCCACCUGUUCUCCAAUAUUCUGUUCCCUAAUCCUUUAUGCUUCCAUCAUGAUUUUUCGUCAUGUAUCAUCACAUCAGCCAAAAGUUGUUAUGUCACCAUCUUCGUCAGAGCGCUGACCCACCUUAAAGGUAAUUUUGUCCACGAAAUUCCACGUAUAAUUAAAUGUGGUAGAUUUUGUAAGGCAACUGAAAAUAUGACAUGGAUUAUAAUUUUUGAGUGGAAUAUGGCAAAUUUUGCAAGAUUCCCUAUAAUUUAUUCAUUUUUUUCAGUUUUUUUGGUUAAAUAGUUA